rnacentral:rRNA from 1 species
UUGACCUCAAAUCAGGUAGGACUACCCGCUGAACUUAAGUCAUAUCAAUAAGCGGAGGAAAAGAAACUAACAAGGAUUCCCCUAGUAACUGCGAGUGAAGCGGGAAAAGCUCAAAUUUAAAAUCUGGCGGUCUCCGGUCGUCCGAGUUGUAAUCUAGAGAAGUGUUAUCCGCGCUGGACCGUGUACAAGUCUCCUGGAAUGGAGCGU